GCUGGCUCUCUUAUCUCCGGGUGAGUGAUUUUCUCAAGGCCCUCAUCACUGGAAGACUCAGUGAAUCUGCAAGAAAAGUGGCCAUCUACCACACUGACUGGUUCUCUGAUGGAUCAAACUUUUGGUUCAAGCUGGUAGCCUCAACCCAGUGCAUGCCCAACCAAUACUGUUGGACAAAUCGACUGUUCUAUGGGGCAAAUGCUACCAGUGCGCCAGGAUCAAUUUCUGUCAGCCUCAUUUCAAAUCAUGGAAGACCAUUUCCUAAACAAGCCAUCUGCAUCUCAGGACUUCAUUUCAACUGACCCUCUUUUAGAGGGUCAUCUUUUAGUCAUGUGGUACCAGCAGUCUCAUCUUUGAGCCAAACAAUUUGUGAGCUGACUUCUAACCAAAUUGAUCCUCAUGAUGAAACUCCACAAGAAUUAAACUGUGCCUUGAGAAAUGUUGAUUUAGACCAUAGUGACCUCAUUGGUCAUUGAUUCAGCACCUGAAAUGUUAAAUAUCCAUUAACAUUUUGAGGCAAAGUUGUUUGGUAAUGAAUAAAUAGCAAGUGGAAAUAUA